CUGACGCAGCGACGCCGCGUGAGUGAUGAAGGUCUUCGGAUCGUAAAGCUCUUUCGAGCGGGAAGAUUAUCCCCGUGGCUAAUAUCCCGCGGCUUGACGGUACCGCUCAGGACGCCCGGUUACCUCCGUGCCAGCAGCCGCGGUAAACGGGGGGUGCAAGCGUUGUUUGGAAUUAUUGGGCGUAAAGGGCGUGUAGGCGGCUGGUCAAGUCCGAUGUGAAAUUCUGGGCUUAACCCCGGAAUGCAUUUGAACUGUCCUGCUUGAAAUGGNAAGANAAAGUGCAAUUUCGGUGUANGCUGAAUUCCACAAAACAGAANUGCACCCGNCUCAACUCACUUCUGUCCCGUUUUGGACCUAAUAUCCUUNACUGGU
rnacentral:rRNA from 1 species